UACAGGGGGGGCAAGCGUUGUUCGGAAUUACUGGGCGUAAAGGGCUCGUAGGCGGCCAACUAAGUCACACGUGAAAUCCCUCGGCUUAACCGGGGAACUGCGUGUGAUACUGGAUGGCUUGAGUUUGGGAGAGGGAUGCGGAAUUCCAGGUGUAGCGGUGAAAUGCGUAGAUAUCUGGAGGAACACCGGUGGCGAAGGCGGCAUCCUGGACCAAUACUGACGCUGAGGAGCGAAAGCCAGGGGAGCAAAGCGGG
rnacentral:rRNA from 1 species